GGGGCAUUAGCUCAGUUGGUAGAGCGGUUGCAUCGCACGCAACAGGUCAGGGAUUCGAGUUCCCUAUGCUCCA
rnacentral:tRNA from 2 species